GGAAUUUUGGACAACAUGAAAAAAAAAGAAAGUUCGUUAUAACAAAAAAGGAACAUCGAGUAAAGGUUGGUGGAGAGUUUUUGACUACAAAAGAAGGCACACAAUGGAGAAAGCUUACAUAUGCAAACUGCCGCAAGCAACCGAGCAGCAUCUCCCGGAGGAUCACAAUCCGGAAAUAUGGGCUUAAGAACAUAAAUACUAAACGUGAGAGCAACAAUAGCUUGGCUACAUGGCCGAACUAUCAUACACUCAAUCCAAAGUCUAAUAAAUGCUGCGAAUGGUCCAAACGUCUCCAUAAUAUAGGCAUAAUCUGCACCUGAUCUCUUUAUCAUACAUCCUAAUUCGGCAUAACAAUAAGCACCCACCUGGAACACCAUCAGAAAAUACCAAGCAUUUGAAAGAAGAAGUUGAAUGAAUGGAAAAUGAAAAUUUACUGAAUUAAAAGAUAAUUAAAAGAAAAAUUUUGGCAAAUUAUAUAGGAGCAACCGUUUAAAACGGUCUUGUCACUUAACGUAUCUCUACUCGCGUAAGACUCAAUUCAACGUACGUAAAGCUAUGAUCAACCCAGUGCGACCACUCCAUGUACGCUGAGCGUUCAAUACAUCACAGGAGAAAA